rnacentral:lncRNA from 1 species
ACUUUAUUUAAAGGUAUAUGUUUGUUAAACCUUCCCUUUCUUAAAAUCAUCUCUGCUUUGAUAAUUUUUUCAACUGUUUGCUGUGUUGGUUUUUUUGUUUUGGUUUGGUUUUUUUGUUUGUUUGUGGGGUUUUUUUGUGGUUUUUUUGUUUGGUUGGUUGGUUGGUUUGGUUUGGGGGUUUUUGGUUUUGUUUUGCUUUGUUUUGUUUUUUUAGUGGCAGCUUUCUAUCUGCUGGACAAGCAGCCCCGGCCGAGGCAUCUCCCCGCGCUCGGCCGCAGCGGCGGCACCCCGAGCUCCCGGCGCCCCGCUUCGCCCCCAGGCAGGAGCAGCUCCAUCCCUCAGCCAAGCGUGCCCUUGCUGCGCCAAAAUUGGCCCAGGCGCCUUCGGCCGCGCCCCUUUGGCAGAGGAGCAGCCUCGGGCAGCCUCGGAGGGUACGGGCGGCGAGGCCCUCGCCCGGCGCCGCGGGGUCCCGGGGCAGGGGGCGGGCGGGAGGAGGUGGCCAGCCCGGGCCCGCCCCGCGGCUCCGCGCCGGGAAGGCGGCGGGAGGGAGCGGGUCGGGCCGGGAGUCAGCGGGACCGGGACCGGGACCGGGACCGGGACCGAGGUCUGCUCGGCGGCAGCGGCGCCCGACGGGCCGGGGUAAGUGCUGAUUGCUGCCGCCCGCUCCCCUCUCGCCGGGUGCCGGCAGUCCCUUCUCCCCUCCCUGCCCGGUUCUCCCAGCCCCGGCCCCCGCCGGGGCACACGGCAGCCGGCCCGGGGCACCACGGGGAACGCGCAGCUCCGCUGCCCCUCCGGUGCGGGAGCAGCGGGAGCGGAGCAGCACCGCAGCUGGAGACCAGCCCAGAGCCACCGCCACACCUGACCCCGCGCUCGGACCCGGAGCCUUCCCCGCCCCCGGAGCUGCCGUGUGGGCCGGGACAAGCACCCGGGCCCCUCCGAAGCGGAGACCCACGAGAGGAGCGUCCUUUCCCCCCCCCCCCCCUUUCCCCUCCUUCUGCUCUUCCCCACGGCUGCGACCCUUGUCCCCAUGGCAGUCCUGGAAUCGCAGGGUCGCGGGUGUCCUGCCACCCCUCCGGGAAGGUAUCCAGGUACUGGUACGAGCCUGCCCUGGCAGCGCCCUGGCCAGGGGCAGAGUGA